rnacentral:tRNA from 1 species
GAGGAUAUUGCUCAGCAGUAGAGUGCAUGCCUAACAAGCAUCAGGUCCUGGAUUCAAUCCCCAGUACCUCCA